GUUUUAUUACAUUCUUCAAAACGCGACGCUUUCUACCAACAAGCUGAUGGCGCCCUUUACGGCCCUUGCAGUGACUAAUGUAGAUUUACGUGUUCAUAAUUCCCACUACUUGCGAACACACCGAUAAGGAGCGGAUGACUUGUUGAGACAAGCGCGUGACUUGUCAAGCUAAGCGCACGUGCUUGACGAAAGUAGUAGAUAAGGUAAUAAACGUCUUUCCCAAUACCAGGUAGCCAUCCUUUCGCUUAACGUCAAAAAACGCGUCCCUCGGGCGCAAUGAAGCGGCUGCUGAGCUGCAUCACGUCACCCUGUAGGGCCUAUUUUGCCACCAAUACAUAGUUCAAUUUAAUCCAAACCGAUUAAACGUGCUAGCGCAACAUUCCAGGUCAACAACAAUUUCUGGCGCAAAAAAUGCAGCAUUUAUUAGGCUGUAUGUAAUCGUGCAGGACUAUCACGUUAAAAUCAUAUUCUUACAACAUAUCGGGAGGACCAUCUAUAUAGAAAGCACCCCGUUUUUUAGAGGGCUUUCGAUGACAGCUAGCAUUGUUCGGGGGGUUCUAAUCGAGCGUAGAUCCGUUUCUGGAGGACCUACUGAAACACAGCUUGAUAACCCACGUUCCUGACCGCUAAUUUUCACUUUAAUUUGUGCGAAAACGCUUUUCCGGUAAAAGUGUCAGGCCCCGAGAUGGCGACAAAGAGGCGACGAAAGCAGCUCUUGCAACAAAUUCUAAAGGCUCAAAUAUAUUCCGUCAUUUCAAGCCAUGGAGCAACCGGCGAAGUUUGACACGUCCCGCCGGCGACUCCAACGAGGCCUAAAAUUGGGCACUCUGUACAGUUUGGUUCGUUGAACAUGGCCCGCAGCAGCGCGGCGAUCGACUAUUGCUGCAACGCAUGUGCACAAGUGCGCGGCGAGCUAGCGCUUUGCAUUUGGCGACGGAGCACACUCAGUGGAAUUGCCUGCGUGCAUGCGAAUAUAUAGACGAUCAUGCUGUCGGCCAGCACAGCUAGCGCACGUACGAUGCCCUCUGAGCUGGCAGUUUUGACGUUGGAUAUAUAGAACAUCUCAUUUCUCCCGCCUUCUGAGCGCUUUCUGUCAGGCUGCGUGUGCCGAACACUACAUCCCAGGGGUGAAUCUCCGCAUGGCUGCCGUUGGCUGUUAUUUUGCAGGCGCUCUUUCGACGCUAGCGCCGAGAUCCGCUUCAGUUACGGCCCUAGCAGGCGGGCGAUACUUUAGCACAAUGGCGCCGCACACGAUGGUUUACGUUCCCAUGGCAACAGGAAUAGCCGACGCGGGGCGCCUGCGCUCCAUAGCGCUGUCAUUUAUUUUUGUUUCCAUUGUGCCAACCCGCUUCGCUCCCUUGCCACCCUUCUCCAAUGCCAAUGAGUGGCGCACGGCACCGCGCAUUGGCAUUGUUUGCGAACUGGCGUGGUGUGCACCGUGUGUUCUUUAUGAGUUGGCACGCACGUAGUCUUUUUCAUACGUUGAUUACACCAACAUGUGCGAGAACUUAUAUAACUUCCACUUCCAACACAACAGAUCUUCGGCUUGUUUGAUAGACAUUGAUUCCUACAACAAAGAUUUUCGUACAUUUGGUAUGGCACACGCUCAGAAAAUGAACAAAAGUAAAAGAUGCAUGACACGUACGUGAAUUUUAACAACGCAAAAGUUCACAGUGUGACAAAACAAAAACAUGAAAUAAAACGCAACAAAAUGCGAAGGACGUUUCAUGUGCACACAUAUAAAAUACUUUUUUUAUAUAUUGCCCUAAAGAGCAAAGCGUAGAAGAGCUUCGAUACACGCACUGAGAUUUUGCACAAAACUGGACGACGUGCAUGACAGUCAUAGCAACUAAAUAAUCCGAAAUUUCACUUGCAAUGACAAAAUUAACGGCGUGCACAAUACGCGAAUUACAAUAAAAAGCAAAGAAUGUUUUAUGGACAACCAUACCUAAGAACAGAAGCUUCCAUAUACCUGAACAAAAGUACAUGAAAUGCAUGACAUGUUCAUUACUACUGAACAAAAUGAAAAACCAGACAUGGCGGAACAAAAAUAACAUUGUACUAAAAACAAAAAUACGCAUUGUCACAUAAUGUUGCACUUGGCCACAACUUGAGCAAUGGUGUCAAGGAGGAGCAGAAGGUAGUUAGCUUUUGGAACAGCACAUAGAAAACAUUCACAGAAAGGCCUAUUCCUCAAUCCAGGGUCAGGUAAAAGAAGCCAACAACACGGCAUUUCUUUCACCACAAAUGCAAAGCUUAGCAGUAAAAUUACGUAAAUUAAUGCACGAAGUACUACUUUGCAUACUCGCCACACCUUUGUGUAAGAAACACGAACUGCAAUUAAUCUACAUAUGGAGCACUUGCAAUGCUCAUACUUUCCAUAAUAAAAAGCGUUAUGUCUACGCAUUAAUGUUAUUCGCGCGGUUUUCUCAUUGGCAGUUACUGGGUCAAUACAUAAGCACAAACAUAUCAUAAGAAGCCAACCAACAAGGAGAGCAAGGUAAACAUAGGGGAAAUUACUUGUGCAUGCCAAUUGAAAUAAAGAAAUCAUAAAUAAAUGUCAGUGAAAGUGGAUGAAGAAACAGCUUUCCGCAGGUAGGAACGAUUCCACAUUUUCUCAUUUAGCAUGCGAUGCUCUAACCAAUGGAGCCACCGCGGCGAAAGGGCUAAAUCGGGCGCAACGGGUAAAGUCGUUAGCCUUUGUGCGCGCAUUCCUUCAAGAUUCUGUAUCAUUAUGCGCAUGCGCACCACUGUUGUCUCCCUUCGGCGAGCAAGAAAGCUUUGUAUGCGCCUGCGCAUCUGCUUUGCUUCCUUGGCGUGGUAGACGCUGGUGUUUGUGUGUGUGCGCGUGGGUGUGUAAACGUCAACGCCUUUGUGUCCUGUGCACCCGACCCAGUUGGAAAAUCCGCGCACCUGACAUCCAUCUUCCGAGUGGCGGCAGCAAGCAUGAAUAGCGUCGGCCCCCUCAUCAUCUUGGACACUGGCGUUUCGAAGAGGCUUUAAAAAUGGUCCGCAAAAGUAAUUUAGCCUUCCGUAGAAGCUUGAAGCCUUGCUGUCGCUCUCCGUCACGAAGCUUGCAGAGCGUACCGUCCUCGUAGUGAUAAAUUUAAAUGCUUUAUGUUGCUCGUCGCGUCAAUCACGCUCCGGACCUCUAGGCUAAAGCAACGACCACGCUGCUGGUUUGCCGUUUUUAACAACACUGAUGAUAUGACGCGGGUGUUCUGCUAUAAUAAAAAGGUAAAUAAAGCGAGUACUUCCGUUGUAGCACCAAAGUUUCAUCGUCAUGCCGUACUCAUUGCCCUGCAUUGUUAUUAAGCUAACAUCGCAGUCACCAUCAUGUAUACUGUAGUUACCACCAUUGUCGCUAGCACGCCAGCAUUGUCGGUAUUGCGUCAUCGUGGUGCCUUUAUCUGCGCCAUCUUCAUACUCGGGGUUCGCUUAUCGUACCGCAAGCAUCGUCGUACGCUCAUAGAGAAAGAAAUUCAACAAGAGGGGACACUCUUCAAAAACUGGCAACAGGAAACACGUCACGCCUAGUUUCAACACCAUUCGUUAGUUGACGCGAGCAUCAGAAAAAAGGAAUGUGAAAUAAACUUCCACACAACGUUUUAUUUUUUUUAUUCCUUCCCACUAAAAGUGAAAAAGUUUUGUGUGUAAAUGAACUUUUAUUUUGCAACUUUUUUUGCGUUGCCUAGCAACAAGCUAGCGGCACGCCAGACGCGCGUGCAUACGUCAUGCGCCAGACAAGCCGCAGGAGUGAGCGGGGCCGGCUGCGCAUGUGAAGCUCGCGUGCUCGGCGACCCGUCUCUUUUGGAUGUAGCCCGUUUUUGGGGCUCCCGGCGUUCUCUUAUGUUCCGUCUGCAUUUCGACACGGCAGCGCUGCACUACUGGACUACAGCAAGCUGACGGCAUCCGGUGGAGCAUCGUACGGCAACGACUGCUGCUUACCUGGUGCCACAACUUUGGAUGAAUGCAGAAGAAGCCCGUAACGAGCAUUUAUAUAGAGCAAAAUAAACAUUUCAUCAUUUCAGAAGA